rnacentral:rRNA from 1 species
CGGCGAGUGAAGCGGCAAUAGCUCAAAUUUGAAAGCUGGCCCCUUCGGGGUCCGCGUUGUAAUUUGUAGAGGAUGAUUCGGCGAGGGCUCCCGUCUAAGUCCCUUGGAACAGGGCGUCAUAGAGGGUGAGAAUCCCGUAUGUGAUGGGCUGCCUUAGCCAUGUGAAUCUCCUUCGACGAGUCGAGUUGUUUGGGAAUGCAGCUCUAAAUGGGAGGUAAAUUUCUUCUAAAGCUAAAUACCGGCCAGAGACCGAUAGCGCACAAGUAGAGUGAUCGAAAGAUGAAAAGCACUUUGGAAAGAGAGUUAAAAAGUACGUGAAAUUGUUGAAAGGGAAGCGCUUGCAGCCAGACUUGUCCGCAGUUGCUCAGCUUGUCUCCUGACAGGCGUACUCUUCUGCGGCCAGGCCAGCAUCAGUUCGGGCGGUCGGAUAAAGACCUAGGGAAUGUAGCUCCUCUCGGGGAGUGUUAUAGCCCUGGGUGCAAUGCGGCCAGCCUGGACUGAGGAUCUCGCUUCGGCUAGGAUGCUGGCGUAAUGGCUGUAAGCGGCCCGUCUUGAAACACGGACCAAGGAGUCUAACAUCUAUGCGAGUGUUUGGGUGUCAAACCCAUGCGCGUAAUGAAAGUGAACGGAGGUGGGAACCCUCACGGGUGCACCAUCGACCGAUCCUGAUGUCUUCGGAUGGAUUUGAGUAAGAGCAUAGCUGUUGGGACCCGAAAGAUGGUGAACUAUGCCUGAAUAGGGUGAAGCCAGAGGAAACUCUGGUGGAGGCUCGCAGCGGUUCUGACGUGCAAAUCGAUCGUCAAAUUUGGGUAUAGGGGCGAAAGACUAAUCGAACCAU